rnacentral:rRNA from 1 species
UUUGCCUAGAAGCAGCCACCCUCUAAGGAGUGCGUAAUAGCUCACUGAUCAAGCGCUUUUGCGCCGAAAAUGACCGGAACUAAGUUUUUUGCCGAAGCUGUGGCUACAUCAUAUAGAUGAUGUAGGGUAGAGGAGCGUUCCGCCCAGGGGGAAGCCAAGCGCGUAAGCCGCGGUGGACAGGGCGGAAGUGAGAAUGUCAGCUUGAGUAACGUAAACAUUGGUGAGAAUCCAGUGCCCCGAAAACUCAAGGGUUCCUGCGCAAGGCUCGUCCGCGCAGGGUCAGUCAGGACCUAAGGUGAGGCCGAAAGGCGUAAUUGAUGGCAAGAAGGUUUAUAUUCCUUCACUAGUCUAGGCUUAGUCCUGAGGGACGAACAAAUAACACUCGGCACAACGGCCACACUUGGCAGUAUGGAUAAACCCGUUGCUGUUUGAUGCUAUUUAUUCCAAGAAAAGCUCAUUCGACUUUGAGUCUAGAUUACCUGUACCGUAAACCGACACAGGUGAGUGGGUUGAAUAAACUAAGGGGAGCGAGAUAACUCUCUCUAAGGAACUCGGCAAAUUGGCUCUGUACCUUCGGAAGAAAGAGUGCCCUGCAUAAGGGCCGCAGUGAAGAGAUCCAGGCGACUGUUUACCAAAAACACAGGUCUCCGCAAAGUCGUAAGACGAUGUAUGGGGGCUGACACCUGCCCAGUGCCAGAAGGUUAAAGAAGUUGGUUAGUUUCGACGAAGCUGACGACUGAAGCCCUGGUGAACGGCGGCAGUAACUAUAACUGUCCUAAGGUAGCGAAAUUCCUUGUCGGGUAAGUUCCGACCCGCACGAAAGGUGUAACGAUCUGGAUACUGUCUCAGAGAGAGACUCGGUGAAAUAAAACUAUCUGUGAAGAUGCGGAUUACCUGCACACGGACAGAAAGACCCUAUGAAGCUUUACUGUAACCUGGAAUUGCUCUCAAGCUUAUUUUGCGCAGCUUAGGUGGGAGACGUUGAACUUCUUUUUCCGGAAAGGAGGGAGUCAUCAGUGAGAUACCACUCUUAGUAAGCUAGAGCGCUCAUUUCUUACCGUUAUCCGGUAGAAAGACAGUUUCAGGCGGGCAGUUUGACUGGGGCAGUCACCUCCCAAAAGGUAAUGGAGGUGUACAAAGGUUCGCUCAGGCUGGACGGAAAUCAGCCAUAGAGUGUAAAAGCAUAAGCGAGCUUGACUGCGAGACUGACAUGUCAAGCAGAGACGAAAGUCGGUUUUAGUGAUCCGACGGUGCUGAGUGGAAAGGCCGUCGCUCAACGGAUAAAAGUUACUCUAGGGAUAACAGGCUAAUCUCCCCCAAGAGUUCACAUCGACGGGGAGGUUUGGCACCUCGAUGUCGGCUCAUCGCAUCCUGGAGCGGAAGUACGUUCCAAGGGUUGGGCUGUUCGCCCAUAGAAAGCGGCACGCGAGCUGGGUUCAGAACGUCGUGAGACAGUUUGGUCCAUAUCCUGUGUAGGCGUUUAGAGCAUUGAAAGGAUCUCCCCUUUGUACGAGAGGACCAGGUGGGGACAGACCGCUAGUGUACCAGUUAUUCCGCCAGGGGUAAACGCUGGGUAGCUAUGUCUGGAGUAAAUAACUGCUGAAAGCAUAUAAGUAGGAAGUUCACCUUAAGAUGAGUGCUCUUUUGUCUCAAACGAUCAACCUUCUAUGAAGGAUUGGCAAAUGAAAGACAAGGAAGGUCACGGCAAGACGAGCCGUUUGAUAGGCAUGAAGUAGAAGUGCAGUAAUGCAUUCUGAAGCUGACAUGUGCUAAUAGACCGAGGGAUUUGAUUUU